rnacentral:tRNA from 3 species
GGGCCCGUGGCCCAGCUAGGAGGGGCGGCGUUUCAUAGUCAAUGGACCGCAUGCCUUCGGAAGAUUGGAGAUAGCCGUAGGUCCCGGGUUCGAAUCCCGGCGGGCCCG